CUGCACGUAGCACCUCGGGUUUCUCUGAAAUAACGAAUUGGAUGAAGAAGAAAGCCCCAAUGCUCGUGCUAAAUCAGAUCUAUUGCUGUUAAGUGUUGCAGUUCAGCCUUUUUGUACCUUUUUUUAUUGUCAUUUAUGUGUCAAAUCGACGGCUACAUAU